AGAGUUUGAUCCUGGCUCAGGAUGAACGCUGGCGGCGUGCUUAAUACAUGCAAGUCGAACGGACAAUAUUGACUAGCUUGCUAGUUAAUAGAGUUAGUGGCGAACGGGUGAGUAAUACGUAGGUAACCUGCCCUAUAGAGGGGGAUAGCAGUUGGAAACGACUAUUAAUACCGCAUAAUGUAAUUAGUAGGCAUCUAUUAAUUAUUAAAGGUGCGUUUGCACCGCUAUAGGAUGGGCUUACGCUGUAUUAGCUAGUUGGUGAGAUAAUAGCCCACCAAGGCGAUGAUACAUAGCCGGUCUGAGAGGAUGAACGGCCACAUUGGGACUGAGACACGGCCCAGACUCCUACGGGAGGCAGCAGUAAGGAAUUUUCGGCAAUGGGGGAAACCCUGACCGAGCAACGCCGCGUGAGUGAUGAAGGUCUUCGGAUUGUAAAGCUCUGUGGUAAAGGAAGAAUACUAAUUAGAGGAAAUGCUAGUUAGCUGACGGUACUUUACUAGAAAGUCACGGCUUACUACGUGCCAGCAGCCGCGGUAAUACGUAGGUGGCAAGCGUUAUCCGGAUUUAUUGGGCGUAAAGGGUGCGCAGGCGGUUUGUAUAGUCUGAGGUGAAAGCGUGGAGCUUAACUCCAUUAAGCCUUGGAUACUGGCAAACUAGAGUGCAGAAGAGGGUUGUGGAACUCCAUGUGUAGCGGUAAAAUGCGUAGAUAUAUGGAAGAACACCGGCGGCGAAGGCGGCAACCUGGUCUGUAACUGACGCUCAGGCACGAAAGCGUGGGGAGCAAAUAGGAUUAGAUACCCUAGUAGUCCACGCCCUAAACGAUGAUUACUAAAUGUUGGGGAAACUCAGUGUUGUAGCUAACGCAAUAAGUAAUCCGCCUGGGGAGUAUGCACGCAAGUGUGAAACUUAAAGGAAUUGACGGGGCCCCGCACAAGCGGUGGAGUAUGCGGUUUAAUUAGACGCAACGCGAAGAACCUUACCAGGCCUUGACAUCCCUUGCAAAGCUAUAGAGAUAUAGUAGAGGUUAUCAAGGUGACAGGUGGUGCAUGGUUGUCGUCAGCUCGUGCCGUGAGGUGUCGGCUUAAGUGCCAUAACGAGCGCAACCCCCACCGCCAGUUGCCAACAGGUAAAGCUGUGCACUCUGGCGGGACUGCCGGCGCAAGCUGCGAGGAAGGCGGGGAUGACGUCAAAUCAGCACGGCCCUUACGUCCGGGGCGACACACGUGUUACAAUGGCCGCCACAGAGGGAAGCCACCCGGCGACGGGGAGCGGAACCCCAAAGGCGGCCUCAGUUCGGAUCGGAGUCUGCAACUCGACUCCGUGAAGCUGGAUUCGCUAGUAAUCGCGCAUCAGCCAUGGCGCGGUGAAUACGUUCCCGGGCCUUGUACUCACCGCCCGUCAA
rnacentral:rRNA from 1 species